GACAGAGGGUGCAAACGUUGUUCGGAAUUACUGGGCGUAAAGCGCGUGUAGGCGGCAAUAUAAGUCGGCUGUGAAAUCCCGCGGCUCAACCGUGGAAGUGCACCCGAAACUGUAUCGCUAGAGUCCCGGAGAGGAUGGUGGAAUACUUGGUGUAGAGGUGAAAUUCGUAGAUAUCAAGUGGAACACCGGUGGCGAAGGCGGCCAUCUGGACGGUGACUGACGCUGAGACGCGAAAGCGUGGGUAGCAAACAGG
rnacentral:rRNA from 1 species